rnacentral:tRNA from 1 species
GACACUAUGGCCGAGUGGUUAAGGCGACAGACUCGAAUUAGGCGAAUUCCUCUUAGGACUUUGCCGCUGCACGUGAUCUGUUGGGUUCGCCCGCACAGGUUCAAAUCCUGUUGGUGUCG